rnacentral:rRNA from 1 species
GAUGAACGCUGGCGGCGUGCCUAAUACGUGCAAGUCGAGCGAAUGGAUUAAGAGCUUGCUCUUAUGAAGUUAGCGGCGGACGGGUGAGUAACACGUGGGUAACCUGCCCAUAAGACUGGGAUAACUCCGGGAAACCGGGGCUAAUACCGGAUAACAUUUUGAACCGCAUGGUUCGAAAUUGAAAGGCGGCUUCGGCUGGCACUUAUGGAUGGACCCGCGCCGCAUUAACUAGUUGGGGAGGUAACGGCUCACCAAGGCAACGAUGCGUAGCCGACCUGAGAGGGUGAUCGGCCACACUGGGACUGAGACACGGCCCAGACUCCUACGGGAGGCAGCAGUAGGGAAUCUUCCGCAAUGGACGAAAGUCUGACGGAGCAACGCCGCGUGAGUGAUGAAGGCUUUCGGGUCGUAAAACUCUGUUGUUAGGGAAGAACAAGUGCUAGUUGAAUAAGCUGGCACCUUGACGGUACCUAACCAGAAAGCCACGGCUAACUACGUGCCAGCAGCCGCCGUAA